CCUACGGGAGGCAGCAGUGGGGAAUCUUGGGCAAUGGGCGAAAGCCUGAUGGAGCGACGCCGCGUGGGGGAUGAAUGGCUUCGGCCUGUAAACCCCUGUCAUUCGCGACCAAACUCUGUGACCUAACACGUUGCAGGCUGAUAGUAGCGGAAGAGGAAGGGACGGCUAACUCUGUGCCAGCAGCCGCGGUAAUACAGAGGUCCCAAGCGUUGUUCGGAUUUACUGGGCGUAAAGGGUGCGUAGGCGGCCGGGUAAGUAUGACGUGAAAUGCCGAAGCUCAACUUCGGAAGGGCGUCAGAAACUGUCCGGCUUGAGGAUUGGAGGGAGGAGUGGAAUUCUCGGAGUAGCAGUGAAAUGCGUGGAUAUCGAGAGGAACACCGGUGGCGAAGGCGGGUCCUUGGACAAUUCCUGACGCUGAGGCACGAAAGCUAGGGGAGCAAACAGGAUUAGAUCCCCUUGUAGU
rnacentral:rRNA from 1 species